ACUUCCCGUUAGUCUAGCAAAGGGCGUGUGAAGAAGCUAUCGUAUUUACAGACCGAUUUCCAUGGCAGCCACGUCUCAAUAUUCGUAGUAAGCCUGUAUAUUUGGCUGCAAUUGAAUAUUCAAAGGAAUAAAUGUCGCAUUGCUAGGACCACAUACUUGAAGCAGAAGUAGUCGACUUGCAUUAGAAAUUUCUGAUGUUCGUGCACCCCUGCUAUUCCAGAAUAUGUACAAGAAUGUUUCACACGCUGGUGAGGUUUUUAUGACUUUAUUUUGAGUAUAUAAUACAGAAUUUACAGUGCGAAAUAAAGAGAGGAAAUGAAAAGCAUCGGGUCACAAUCCAGCAAAAUAAAUAACUUCAUUCUCUGGUGUUCGCAUAUUUUCCUUGCCAUACAGAGCGCAGACAGCAAGUGCAACAGAGAAUACAAAAGCAGAAACCUCAAAUGUAAGACAAGAAGAAAAAAAAGGUACUGCAUUGGGACGCUUUGGCAAACAAAUGGCAAACAAAGAGAUUGCUCCACUGUCCUUAACUGGGUAACAACAGGGUGUAGAUUUACUCUUCAAUAGCAAAAAGCUGGGAGGAAACCUGUCCUUCACUGGGUGACAACAGGGUCUAGAUUUUCUUUCAUUUCUUUGCUGACAAAACAGGGGAAACAGAAAUGAGGAAAGCUUCUAAAAAAGAAAGGCUGCAGCUCAACAAGACAAAAUACAUAAAGUGCAUACGCCAAAAC
rnacentral:lncRNA from 1 species